rnacentral:rRNA from 1 species
UACGUAGGGUGCAAGCGUUGUCCGGAAUUAUUGGGCGUAAAGAGCUCGUAGGCGGUCUGUCGCGUCUGCUGUGAAAACUCGGGGCUUAACCCCGGGCCUGCAGUGGGUACGGGCAGACUAGAGUGCGGUAGGGGAGACUGGAAUUCCUGGUGUAGCGGUGAAAUGCGCAGAUAUCAGGAGGAACACCGGUGGCGAAGGCGGGUCUCUGGGCCGUAACUGACGCUGAGGAGCGAAAGCGUGGGGAGCAACAGG